CGAGGCAGCGAAGAGAGACGAGCAAUCUGGAGAACAAUUAACAAACCAUUUUAGGAGAACUUACUCCACUGCUACAAAAAAUUCCUGUAGAAGUGUAUUGUGGCUGGGAAUCCAGUGAGGCAGCUCUUUGCCUUUGGGAGCAAGAAUUUGAGACUGUGUCGGCUUUGAACUGUGCAAGCUCUGUUUCAUUCACGCUUGGAUCGCAGUUGGGCAUCUUCUCCCACUGUGUACACACAGGCAAAUAAUCUUCAGGACGUGGGGGAAUAACAAGCAAAAAAACAAACACCUUACCACUCUGCUCCAAAUGCACGCUGACUUCUUCACCAGUCCCUUAAAAAAGAACUACCACAACAGCUUGGGACUUCCUCCCUCCCCUGCAUCCUCUCUGAGCAGUUAAGUGAAAGUUCAUUGAGUGGAGUGUGGAAUAAGUGUCACAGCCUUUGCUAGAGCCACAGUCCAGGGCCUUAAGAAAUACACAUUAAGUGCCACGGCUGCAAUGAUUCCCACCUAGUGGACAUCUCCUUCAAACUACAUCAGGCUGGUAUUCCCGUACAGCAAGCCAUAAUGAGGCAAUGUUAUUAGCCUUAAUGCAGAACUGAGGAGCUGAAGCACACAAAGGUGAAACCACUUGCCCACUGUAGGCACACUCACGAGAGAAUGGACUUAUACUCUGGUCUCCUAAAUAUGAAAAUAAUGAUCCAACUGCUGAAACACCUCUUCCUACAGAUACUUACUAUUAAUUCCAUACCUUGCUUUCCUGACUGCCUUGUUUAGAUAAAGACACCAGUCAGACACAGAAAAAAAAAAAUCAUGUAAUAUUGAAAAAUAUCCAUUCUCCUUUAUCUCAUACUUGUUUUUGAUGCAAUAAAUAAGCCUCU
rnacentral:lncRNA from 1 species